UACGUAGGCAGCAAGCGUUGUUCGGAGUUACUGGGCGUAAAGGGUGCGUAGGCGGUUGUUUAAGUUUGGUGUGAAAUCUCCCGGCUCAACUUGGAGGGUGCGCCGAAUACUGAAUGACUAGAGUGCGGGAGAGGAGAGUGGAAUUCCUGGUGUAGCGGUGAAAUGCGUAGAUAUCAGGAGGAACACCGGUGGUGUAGACGGCUCUCUGGACCGUAACUGACGCUGAGGCACGAAAGCGUGGGGAGCAAACAGG
rnacentral:rRNA from 1 species